rnacentral:rRNA from 1 species
AUGAACGCUGGCGGCGUGCCUAAUACAUGCAAGUCGAGCGAACGGACGAGAAGCUUGCUUUUCUGAUGUUAGCGGCGGACGGGUGAGUAACGCGUGGAUAACCUACCUAUAAGACUGGGAUAACUUCGGGAAACCGGAGCUAAUACCGGAUAAUAUUUUGAACCGCAUGGUUCAAAAGUGAAAGACGGUCUUGCUGUCACUUAUAGAUGGAUCCGCGCUGCAUUAGCUAGUUGGUAAGGUAACGGCUUACCAAGGCAACGAUGCAUAGCCGACCUGAGAGGGUGAUCGGCCACACUGGAACUGAGACACGGUCCAGACUCCUACGGGAGGCAGCAGUAGGGAAUCUUCCGCAAUGGGCGAAAGCCUGACGGAGCAACGCCGCGUGAGUGAUGAAGGUCUUCGGAUCGUAAAACUCUGUUAUUAGGGAAGAACAUAUGUGUAAGUAACUGUGCACAUCUUGACGGUACCUAAUCAGAAAGCCACGGCUAACUACGUG